rnacentral:tmRNA from 1 species
GGGGGUGCCCGGUUUUGACAGCAGGCAGAGUUUGAUUGUAAGCACGUCGAGCGCUGUGUGGCGGCUCGUAAAUCCCGAUGCACAAACAUUAAUUGGCAAUAAUAGCUACGCACUCGCUGCCUAAUUUUCCAGGAAAAUUGGCUUAAUCCCUGACGCCAAGGCUGCGUCGGCGACGAGUAUCCCGAAGGGUUGUUCCGCUCCUUAACCGCCUUUCAUAUGGGGUAUCAUUCAUUUGGAGACCGCUCGACGGAGGGCUUCGGUCGUCGGGCUAAAUUGAGAAGCUGGGCUUCGUGUUAGGCUGUUGCCUGCCGGAUACGGAGAGAAGGACGAAACGGCAACUAAACGUGUAGAAAGCUUUCGGGUUCCCUGUUUGGACGCGGGUUCGACUCCCGCCACCUCCACAC